CCUACGGGUGACAGCAGUGAGGAAUAUUGGUCAAUGGGCGGGAGCCUGAACCAGCCAAGCCGCGUGAAGGAAGAAGGCCCUAAGCGUCGUAAACUUCUUUUGUCGGGGAACAAAGUGCGCCACGUGUGCCGUUGUGAGUGUACGCUAUGAAAAAGCAUCGGCUAACUCCGUGCCAGCAGCCGCGGUACUACGGAGGAUGCGAGCGUUAUCCGGAUUUAUUGGGUUUAAAGGGUGCGUAGCCGGUCCGGAAAGUCAGCGGUAAAAGCCCGGGGCCAAACCCCGACGUGCCGUUGAAACUGGCGGACUAGAGAAGGCGAGAGGUACGCGGAAUGCGCGGUGUAGCGGUGAAAGGCAUAGAUAUCGCGAAGAACUCCGAUUGCGAAGGCAGCGUACCGGCGCCGGACUGACGCUGAGGCACGAAAGCGUGGGUAUCGAACAGGAUUAGAUACCCCAGUAGUC
rnacentral:rRNA from 1 species